GUACACGCCCUCAGGAGUGGCAAGUCGACAGAGGUCCUUCUGUAGCUUUGUAAUGAUUAACUUUAUGUCCAUAGGAAGCGUGAAGAAACAAAAAGCAUCGGAAGGACUCUGGGACGAGGAGCAGAGGAGUUGAGGAGAAGCAAGCGUCCUCCACAGGUCGGAUCCACUCAAAUAGCAGCUUUAAAUUGAAGCGUCUUGUGGUACAGUGAAAUGCGGGAGAGUUGACAAUGGAGUUCACAGUGUUUCUCUGCCUUUUGCCUGCAUUUACUCUCACAAUGCAAGAGUUGGUGAACUUGGACGUGAGCCCCGUGAUUACCACAGAGUGUGACAAACCAGUUGCCCUGCACUGCAAUGCAUCAUCACGUCAGCACGGACUGUCAGUCAAACGCAUGGAGUGGUCCCAAGGCAAUAUGUCUUUGUGUUCUGUGGACAGCCAAGAAACAGUGACCACACUGCAGAGACACUUUCAAAGUACCUUGCACUGCGAGUAUAAAGAUGGCCGACUUUCCCUGUUCUUUCAAAGUGUGCUGCCUCUGGGGAGUGGAAACAUGAGGCGCUACAGAUGCAAACUGCACUCCAACAAAGGAGUGGCCCAUAACUACACCAUAGUGCAGCUGCAAGACUGCUGUGGGACAGUUGAUGCUGAUCUCAAGAGUGAUAGUCCAUCCUGCACCUUUAACCAAGUCUACCCAGAUGGGGAUGUGCACUGGUUUCAUGGCUCUCAAAACAUCUCAGAAGGAUCUGUGACAAAGCACACUGCAAAAAGCAUUGAUCACCAUGGCUGGAUGGUCAUCCACAGCUGGUUGACCUUUCGUGGUACUCCAGAAAGAAGUUCACACCAGUCAUACAACUGUUCCUUGAGAAGCUCAACAACUGGUAAAUACAUUGCAAGCGCUAUAGUUCCGAGACAUGGACAACAGACCUUGAAAGGUGCUACAGAAAACAACGCCUGUGAUGCCAGGUCGCAGCAAGCUGUGAAGAUUGCUUUGGCUAUUUUAGUCUCACUCAUUGUCACGCUGAAAUAAGCAACUGUGCAAAAUCAUAACAUAUCUCUGAGCAUGAUCACACAUCAGGGUAAAUGAUUAUCAGUAAUAAGACGGUACUGAGUUUGGUUUUACUUUUCCAUUCAAAAGCCGGGCAACAAAACACAGACUUGUGUCUGUCGUCUUGUCAGGUUUCAAUAGUUUUUAUCCUCUUUUUAUUUUUUGCCUCAGGUAUACGAAAAAAAUGACAGGGUGUUGAAAGGGGAUAAAUAGGAUGCUGAUAAUUUUUAAACUAUAAAAGCACUUGGCUGAUAGAAGAGCUUUGGACAAGAGAGCGAGGUUUGUUGGUUUCCAGCACGCAACCUAGAAUAUAAUAAGAAUAAUGUAUGUUCACAGAAGCACAUCAAUCUUGCUGCUGGCAGAGAUAGAGCUUCAAGCUAAUUUAAGGCUAAAAUAAUGAAUUUUGAUAUGUGUAUUUUUACAAUAUUUCACAGUAAAUUGUAUGUGUAGCUGGUGAAGACAUUUCUGUAUGAGUAGCUUGCAGUGUAUAUGCUGACCUAAUAAUAAUGUGAAUGAUUGAUUUCAUGAUAACUUAUAGAAGCAAACAUGUUUUAGAGUUUAAAAUACUUAUUUGUGGGGCCACAUAAACAGCAAAGGAACAAGUCUGUUUGUGAUGUGUGGAUAGAUGCUGCCCUCUGGUGGUCCAGUAAUUUGGAGCAACACGUGGGUUGAAAUAAACAAUGGAACAGAGAUUGGACCUCCUUAUCAAAAAGCGCUGCAUAUUUUGUAGUUGAAAUCAUCAUAGGAAAAAUAAUAUAUGUGAUUUCUUGAUAAUUUCACCUCAGGAAAAAAAAAAGAGAGACUGGGAGAACAUAUCAAUUAAUGGCUCUAUGGCUCUAUUAUUCCAAAUUUUGACAAGCUCAACAACAACAAAUACCACAUGAAUGAAAAGAUUUUCCUAAGAUUUUUUACUUAUCCCAUCAGAUGGUUAUUGUCCAGUGUUGGAACUAAAAACCUGAAACAUUGUUUUUGACAAAAAGAAAAUCAUUUUUUUCCUGGACAUGUACAGCAAAAAAAAAAAAAAAAAAAAAACCCUCACAAGCUUAUCCCAGACAUAAUCUUCUCUCCUUUGGUGAUUCAGUGCACAGCUCCACUGUGGCCUGUGUCUGGAUGCUCACUUCAACAGUUUUCUGCUCAAAGGUUACACAAUCCAGGGCCAAAGCCAGAGUGUAGUUUCCACAUUAUACUGUGACCAUUAUCCUGGCUGAUGCAAAAGUACAUGGCAGCAAAUAGGGUACAUAGUUCAGGGUUCUUGACAAACCAAUGUUCUCUACCAGACCAGAAGCAAUAUCAAUAUUAAGCUGCUAUUUAGCCAUCAGGGCCAUCAAGAGCACUUGGUUUCUCACAAAAGAAACAGCUCUCAAACCUGGCCAUUUGUGUUCAUGUUUAACAAUAAUAACUAUUCACAGAAACCACACCACUGCGGUCCCUGCACAGGCAGACUGUGGCUGUGCUUUAUUUUAUUUGUUUUAUUUAUACCAACAGGAGUAGAAUACAGCGGAGCCCGGUAGUGCGGAAUAGGGUAGGGCUGGUGAAAAAGGGGCUAAGGAGAUGUAACGCCAUCACCAACACCAAUUGUGUGUUCUCUAUCCUGUUUCUCUGAAAUCUGGAUGAGUGGCAGGAUACGGAUACAGCUUCUCUGCAUUUGUCUGUUUGAACUAUGCUACCUACUUUCUGCUAUCCACUGAACCGGACUGGUACACUGCAAAAAGGGAACUAAAAUAUGUAAUAUUUUCAUGAAAUCACUGUAUGUUUCCUUCUUUGAGCAGGUAAAAAAGAUUAUUUGCCAACGGAGUAAGAUUCUUUGCACUUAAAAGAAGAACAGUUCAUCUCCAUCAUCUUAUUUCAAGAGCAGAAUAUCUAAUUAUCUUAUUUUAGGGCUAAAAAAUACUCAUUCCAUUGGCAAAUCGUCCUAUUUAGCUGCUCAAAUUGAGGAAAAGUAUACUAGUUUAAAGAAAAUUGUACUUACUUUUAGUUCCUCUUUUGCAGCAUACUGCAGUUUUCCUCACAACUUCCCCAUACGUCAUUGGGUUAUUUUACAUAAAUGCCCCCGAGCUAAAGCUAACACAUCAAACUUAAAAGCCCCAGGCUUUGGUUCACCCCGGGAAACCAAAGCUUUAAAUCCUGGGGCUUGCAAUGGAAAAGGGGUUUGUACAGCUGUGGUAGGUGAUGGGCUUAACUGCAAGUAGUCCUAUAAAUCAAACACUUUUGAGGUGCCAUCACAAUCUUGAGCCAUUUCUGAGCCUUAUUAAAAUUGAAGAAAUCUAAGAAAGCUAUUUUUAAUGUAUGAUAGAGAAUUUUGACAUGGAAUAACAGAAGUGUGCACCUUGUAGAUAUUUACAAAUUUGCUUAGAUUUACUAUGAAACCUUACGAGCAAUCAGCUAUGGUAAAAAUACAUUGUUUUUUUUUUCUCCAGGUCACAAACGCAGCUUCAGGGUAAAAGCUCUUGUUUUGUAACGCCUCAAUGCUCCUUGAUCAAGUUAUAUUGGCUCCCUGCCUGUGAUGCCACUGAAUUGAAGUGAAGGUUGAGCUUUUAAAGGCCAGAUUGUUCACACUCAUUGGUCAGGGCAAGACUGCAGUGCAGCUGAGGAUCAUUGUGAGGAAAUCCUUCUAGGGGACUUAACCAGUGCAGAGCACACACAUGCGUCCAUGUACAGACAUGUCAGAGUUUAAACCUUGAUCUCACAAUCACUGAUGUGCUAAUAACCUGCUUAUUCACCUCUAAUAUAGCAGAAAGAUGUCAUGCUGCUGUGAGUUUCUAAAAAAGUGAAUAAAUCAGAGUUUGCUUUAACUGUCCAUCCAGUCGGUUGAUCAGGGGUCCAACAGAUUCAUGUCCAUACAUCUGCGAGGUCUGGAAAGGCACUGAUUUAUAUCAUUUUAAAGGCUGCUGACCGAGUGACAACUUACUCCAAUUUGUGCUCAGUCACAGUUGAUGAGGUGGAUCAAUACAGCCACCGCAUCAAGCAAAAUAACUCUGGUGUAACAAUGAUGUAGUUUCGUGAGGAAAACAGAAAUAUAAUUAACAAAUGUCCCUUGUGUAAGUGUAGAUGGUUAACAUCCGCUAACAUGGCGACGGCUCCUAUAAAUCUGAACAUUUUCACUUUGAGUUCUUUAGAUAAAGCAUCUAUUACUGAUACUAAUGUCAGAGAGCCUAAACCCAAACAAUCUGAACUAUUCCUUUAAGGCAUAAACAAGCACAUGCCCUUCAGUGCUUGUUAAUUAUUGUUGGAGUUCUGUAUGAAAUUACGACCCACAAUGCCUUUUAAAGCCAUAUCUUUAUAUAUGCAUUAUAAGGUUAUUGCCUGUUUAUGCUGAGGAACACACUAGAACUGUUGCCUUCUUUUGUCUAUAUUUUAUAGAGUAUGUUCAUGGAUAUCCCAUCAGCUAGCUUUCAAAGAAAAAUAAAUGACAUCCAAUUAAAGCAUGUAAAGGAGAUUUCUGUAAUUAUCUGAAUUGAAACUGUCAGAAAGACAGAAUUUGAUUAAACUUGUGAUUUUUUUCCUCACAUGAGCAUAUGUCAUUUGUUUUCUUAUUGUCAUGUUGUGUUUGGAUUUUUUUAAUACAGGUUAAACACAAAAUUGUUGUAAAUAACUGCUGGGAUUCUUAUUUUUGAUUACUAAAUAAAUAAAUUCUGUGUUUAAUUCACUCCUGCAUUACUUUAAUCCAUUGGAGGCUAAAGUCAGACAAAUGUAACAUAUCAUAUCCUGUGGCUUAUUGAGAUUAUAAGUAAAUAAAUAAAAGCAAACUUGAA